CGUUUCCCGGCGUGGUUGCGCAGGCCCUUGGUGCGGGCCUUGGUAGCCGUGCGGUGCAGGUGGGUGAUGGC
rnacentral:tRNA from 1 species